UGGAAACGUCCUGCUGUCUGCAGCAAUUCUGUUUAGCGGAGCAAGUCCCACUCCAACACUGCGGAUGCUCAAACUGAUAAAUGUCAAGAUCUUCUGUGAUCACACGUUUUUCAACUACCAGCGAGGAUACCUUCUACCAGCAAUAACUGAGGUAUGGACACAGCACCAAGCGGCACUCCUGGUUGAGUUGCAGGGCAAGGAAACCGA